GACAGAGGGGGCAAGCGUUGCUCGGAAUUACUGGGCGUAAAGGGCGCGUAGGCGGGAUGGCAAGUCGGUCGUGAAAUCCCUCGGCUCAACCGAGGAACGUCGAUCGAUACUGCUGUUCUUGAGGAUUGCAGAGGAGACUGGAAUUCCCGGUGUAGCGGUGAAAUGUGUAGAGAUCGGGAGGAACACCGGUGGCGAAGGCGGGUCUCUGGGCAAUUCCUGACGCUGAGGCGCGAAAGCCAGGGGAGCAAACGGG
rnacentral:rRNA from 1 species